rnacentral:rRNA from 1 species
CACGUAGUUAGCCGUGGCUUAUUCAAGAGGUACCGUCUUCUACUCUUCCCUCUUAAAAGAAGUUUACAACCCGAAAGCCUUCUUCCUUCACGCGGCGUUGCUGGGUCAGGCUUGCGCCCAUUGCCCAAUAUUCCCCACUGCUGCCUCCCGUAGGAGUCUGGGCCGUAUCUCAGUCCCAAUGUGGCCGGCCAACCUCUCAGUCCGGCUACUGAUCGUCGCCUUGGUAGGCCGUUACCCUACCAACUAGCUAAUCAGACGCGAGGCCAUCUUUCAGCGAUAAAUCUUUGAUAUAGGCACCAUGCGAUACCUAUAUGUUAUGCGGUAUUAGCAGCCGUUUCCAGCUGUUGUCCCCCUCUGAAAGGCAGGUUCCUCACGCGUUACUCACCCGUCCGCCACUAAGUAACCUCUUCCAUUGACCGAAAUCUCUUUCCGAGGCACUCCGUUCGACUUGCAUGUGUUAAGCACGCCGCCAGCGUUCGUCCUGAGCCAGGAUCAAACUCU